UUACGGCCAUAUCACGCUGAAAACACCGGUUCUCGUCUGAUCACCGAAGUUAAGCAACGUCGAGCCUGGUCAGUACUUAGAUGGGUGACCGCUUGGGAAUACCAGGUGCUGUAAG
rnacentral:rRNA from 1 species